rnacentral:rRNA from 1 species
UACGGAGGGUGCGAGCGUUGUCCGGAAUCACUGGGCGUAAAGGGCGCGUAGGCGGCCUACUAAGUCGGACGUGAAAUCCCUUGGCUCAACCGAGGAACUGCGUCCGAUACUGGCAGGCUGGAAUCCGGGAGAGGGAUGUGGAAUUCCAGGUGUAGCGGUGAAAUGCGUAGAUAUCUGGAGGAACACCCGGUGGCGAAGGCGGCAUCCUGGACCGGUAUUGACGCUGAGGCGCGAAAGCUAGGGGAGCAAACAGG